GAAGCCUCAAGCUACGUUCACAACAUAUUUCAAUCAAAAAUCGAAGCCUCAAUUCACUGGAAACUGAGAGUACUCAUGACAGGGAUGACUAUGUAUUUGUAAUGUGUUGCACUUGCCACUUCAGUCAACAACCACUGAAAAUGGGAAGCUGCCAGGUAGACCCUUGGAAUGACCCAACAAAGCAACACUUUUGAAACUUCGCAAAUAAAUAAAUAAAUAAAUAAAAAUCUACCUCCAAAACAAAUUGGAGAAGAAAUCUCCUGAUUUGGAUUGCUGAUGCUGAAUGUUUGGUGUUGUGGUAAAGUCCCUCAAAUUAUCUGGAGAACAAAAAACAAAUAUCUACUACAUGUAAUUAAAACCUUUCUGAUAUUGCUGAAAUAUUUGUAAUAUUUGUUUAGAAAGUUAAUGUUUGAACCAGGGAUGGUUAAAACUAUUUCUACUGAGAAGUGACGUGUUUAAUUAUGUUUUGGAGACUUUAUGUUAAAGAUUGGAUGGUGCUCAAAUGGAAGGAUUGAGUGAUAUUUCACUACACGAAGACUGUGGGAAGCAUCUGACCUUUAGGUUGCAACCAAUCAGUGAUUUUGUCCUUUUAUGGGACUCGAUCACACUUUCCACCAUCACUCCAAGUAUCUCUCACAAGACAAUGGAAAUGAAACAUGUUCUUAUGUCUGGAAACACUCAAAUGUUCUUUUUGCAACAGACUGAUUAUUUUUUCUAUUUAAUGGAAAGAAUAUGUAGAUUGAGUCUAUGAAAGAAGACUGGCUUGGAGCAUGAAAUGGGAAGC